ensembl:lncRNA
CUCCCAGGAAAAAGCAUCCCAGCCAAGCUGCAGAGAAUGUCACUUGCUGCAAUUUUGAGUCACAACACAUGAACUGUCCCAGUGCCCCAUUUGUCACUUCCUGCAGAGGCAGCACAGAACGGUCUCCUCAGGACACUGACCCAGAUGUGCCCUCCUCCAUCUCUGCAGUGACCACUGAGACUGGGAGUGAUGAAGUGUUUAUCAUUUCUGCUGGACCUGGGACCAGUGGGCUGAGCUUUACCACCUACAGGAUACAGGACAAAAACCUGAAAAGAAGCGUCACAAGCCCGGCCUCUGUGUCUGACUGGCUGAGCUCCCAGCCCACAGCUGCAGGGGCAGAUGCUGCUGAGAAGGGGAACGUGCAGCUGGAGCAUCCCUGUCCCAGGCAGCGCACCUGGAGCGCCCGAACCUUCCACGACUUCCUGGCUCCAAUACCACAGCUACAGAAAAAAUGGUGCAGCUGGAGCACCAACAGCCCCUUCACAAAGCUGGUUGACAGCAGUGGUUUUUCUACAGCUGCAAGACCCCAAGGUGUGCCAACCAGAAAGGUAAUCUCAGCCACUGAGAUAGAGGGAGCAUCAGAGACUGUUUACUCUGAUUCAUCUGCCAGUAAUGCCUCAUAUCCCCUCACUCUGUCUGCACAGAGGCAGCGAAAGUUAACCUCCUGCAAUUUGAAGAAAUCCAGAUUUGGGAACCCUUAUUUUGGAUUUUUAGCCAGUUCCCCUGACAGCAAACAUAUGAGGUCCUUGGAUCCCUCAAGACAUCUAGGGACAGCAUCUCCAGUUAACAGCCAAAGCCCAAAAAAUCUUCUAGAGAGCUCCAACUCCUUGAAAAUCAACUUGGUCAACGGUUCAAAAACAAAGGAGCUUAUGGUAGAAACAGAUAAAAACAAACCAGUUUUUGUUAUUUCUGAAGAAGGGGAUGAUCAGCAGCCUCUGGUCCUGGCAGAACACCUCAGUCAGUGUGGAGAUCACCUGUCAGAGCAAAAUGCUGUGUAUGCUCCGGCCGUGCCAGAGAAGCAGCCGGUGGUUCUGACUGCGGAGAGGAACAGCUCUGCCCCCUUCACAUCGAGCCUUCCCCUCUGGGCAAAAUCCCCCACUUCACACAAAGGCCACGGGAAGGCCCCCAGCUCCUCCAGGGACCAGCAGAGCUCGGUGGGUGGAGAUGCCAACACUGCUGAGCCCCCACAGAACUGCGACACCCCCGCUGCUCCUGCGCUCUGCCAAGCUUCAGUCCACUGAUGUCCUGGGAAAGUCUGAAACGUCAGUUCCCAACCCCAGAGGGAACAGGGACAUGAGCAGAGCAGAAGCUGUGCCGAGCAGUUGAGUGUGGCAGUCACAUGUGGCAGCUUUGUUGAGAGCAGUCUUUGCUUCCCACAUGUUGGGACAGAGAUUACAAGGAUACAAACCACAGCACAGCACAAAUACCAUCUCCCCUUCAGCUCACUAAUCUCAUCUCUCUUCUCCUGCAUGAGACUUGGAUGUAGUUUGUACAAGAAAGAAUCCUCUGAAAAGGUACCUCAGACUGCAAAACCCCUUUUCUGGGAUGGGAAUGAAAGUAACCGGGGCCGGUCACACCGUGGUUUAUAUCUGAAAUGUCAAUCAGUCCCCUGUCCCUGUGGCAUCACUUGAGUCUUUCUGUUGGGAGCUCCGAGUUAGCUUCUGUUUAUAGCUCUGCCUGUACAAUCCAAGCCUUGCCAAGCCAAGGGCAAGAAUUCAGCCAUGCAUGUUUGCAUACAGUUUCGUAAACUUCAUUUUAAGUAUUUCAUAACUUCUGCAGUCUAGCACAAAGCUUACCAAGCAUUAGCAACUCUAAUAUUAAAAAGCAAGAUUAUCUCAUCUCCUAACUCUUUAGAGAAGUGUACAGACAAACUGAGCAGCCCAAUACCAGCUGCUUGUUCUAUUAAAGUCUGAUGUAGCUUUAUCUUUAUUAGGUCUACAUAGGCUUAGAACACCCCAGUCCACUACAUUAAAUGACUCCUCAUGGCAACAGGAGCAUGUGUACAAAAACACUGAAAUACUAGGAAUAGUCUUCAGCAUCCAACACUUGGAUAUUUGCAGCUGCUCUGAUCCUAUAUUCACCAGCUAUUUAUUGCUGGUAACGCACAUUGACUAGAGAGCUAUUCCCCUUCCUUUAGCAGGCAAGACUUGAAAUACAAAAUUAAGGUGAGGCAAACUUUGAGUGCUCACUUUCUUUAGAAAUUAACCCUACGUGGCUGUGCCUCCCUGAGUACAAAUCCAGGGCAUUCAAUGGAACACUGAACCAAAAGGAAGCUUGCUAUUGCCUUUAAUAACCCCAUCGGUAUUUUAAUUUCUUCCUGCUGGUAUUUUCCUAUCUUUGCAAGAGACUCCUGCAUGUUUGUCCCACAAUUCAGAAUUGUUUUUCUUUCUUAAAUGAAACAAUUCCCUCUGAAGCUGCAUUUUGCAGCUGAGACAGCACAUUGUUUUAAAGCAAUAGUAUGUCACAAAACAGGUGUCAGAAAGAAACCUUCUGCACAAGUCUUCCCCUUUAUUAGCUGCUGUGUGCAUCCAGUUAUCUUAAUCCUUCUCUGUGAAGGCAUUUAAGACUGAUUGCUAAAAUAUUUAACGGAAUUAUUUAUGAUUUCACCUGCUGCUACAGCUUCCAUUUGCCACCAUUAAUGUCUGAGAUAUGCAACACAAGACUAUAGGUUUUGCCUUAUAUUUUCUCUUUGUGUUUACACGUCUACCUAGACAUAGAAGCUGUGCAGCUGGUAGCAGUGGAAGCAAAAACACACUUGCCCUUUAGCAGCUGACUCAAACAUGAACAGCAAACAAGUCUCUGCAUUUAUUAUUUCCAGUCUGUGUUCAGUGCCAAAGUCUGGCUCCAUGUUGGUUGCUUCUUUUUUGGUGGGUAUUUUUUUUUGUCAUUGUUGUUUUAAAUUAAUGCUACUUGAUUCAAAGGGAAGAGAUUAAUAUAUUUAUGAUUUAAAAAAUAUUUAAAAGCCUUCAGUACUCUAACAACAACUUCCACUGCAUUAAAUUCAUACACAUUGUUCUGUUACUUACUAAAUUUCUAAAGUUUGAAAUACUAAAAUCUACUUUUGAAAAGUACUUGUGUUCAAUUAUUGACAAUGGUUACAUUUGAAGGGCUGGAAAAAGUGGCUUUUUCAAUAAAAGCAUGUUUAAUUACUCA